rnacentral:rRNA from 1 species
GACGAACGCUGGCGGCGUGCCUAAUACAUGCAAGUCGAGCGAAGAUUUUCUGGUGCUUGCCCCGGAAAGACUUAGCGGCGCACGGGUGUGUAACACGUAAAGAACCUGCCUCAUAGACUGGGACCACUAUUGGAAACGAUAGCUAAUACCGGAUAAUAGCAUUACCUGCAUGGUUGAUGUUUAAAAGUUGGUUUUGCUAACACUAUGAGAUGGCUUUGCGGUGCAUUAGCUAGUUGGUGGGGUAAAGGCCUACCAAGGCGACGAUGCAUAGCCGACCUGAGAGGGUGAUCGGCCACACUGGGACUGAGACACGGCCCAGACUCCUACGGGAGGCAGCAGUAGGGAAUCUUCCGCAAUGGGCGAAAGCCUGACGGAGCAACGCCGCGUGAGUGAAGAAGGUUUUCGGUUCGUAAAGCUCUGUUGUUAGGGAAGAAUGAUUGUGUAGGAACUAUACACAGUAGAGACGGUACCUAACCAGAAAGCCACGGCUAACUACGUG